GAUGCUGAAAUCACUGCACCUUAAAAACAAAAGGAUUAAGCUGCACUGCAUUCCUUGAACUCCCAAAGCCCAUCGGUGCGGGGCGAGCUUAGCAGCCAAGCCUUGCCAUUCUCCAGAGACUGUGAGGUGAUUCUCCUUCGUCACUGCUUGGACCAGGAACCACAGCCCUGCAGUGGUUGGCAGUUUUCCUCAACUUUGCAAGAGAGAGAGAAUUGGUUGGAAUGAAACCUUGCUCUCCGUACAGUCCGCUUGAGAUGCAGCAUUGAAAGGUCCUUUGGAAAUGGAAAAGAUGGUGACUUGGAUGGGAAAAAGGAUGAUGUCCAUUACCCUCAGGCAUACAAGCUGACUGACGCUACUCUUACAUACUUUCCCAUUUUACC
rnacentral:lncRNA from 1 species